AGAGCGAACGCUGGCGGCAGGCCUAAUACAUGCAAGUCGAACGGAUCCUUCGGGAUUAGUGGCGGACGGGUGAGUAACACGUGGGAACGUGCCCUUUGGUUCGGAACAACUCAGGGAAACUUGAGCUAAUACCGGAUGUGCCCUUCGGGGGAAAGAUUUAUCGCCAUUGGAGCGGCCCGCGUCUGAUUAGCUAGUUGGUGGGGUAAAGGCCCACCAAGGCGACGAUCAGUAGCUGGUCUGAGAGGAUGAUCAGCCACACUGGGACUGAGACACGGCCCAGACUCCUACGGGAGGCAGCAGUAGGGAAUCUUGCGCAAUGGGCGAAAGCCUGACGCAGCCAUGCCGCGUGAAUGAUGAAGGUCUUAGGAUUGUAAAAUUCUUUCAGCGGGGACGAUAAUGACGGUACCCGCAGAAGAAGCCCGGCUAACUUCGUGCCAGCAGCCGC
rnacentral:rRNA from 1 species